UGCCCAUUUACUUCUUGUUACAUCUUGAGGUAAUAAUAUUGAUUUGUUGUUGCCUAAUUAACAUAAAAAUCAUCAUACACUUAUAUCAAGUGUGUGCUCUUCAUUGUUUAGAUUGUUCUAGUUUGCUUUUAGAGUUGAAUUCGUGUAUCUUGUUUCUUUAAGAAUUCUUUGUUAUCUCUAAUUAAAAUUGAGUACAUAGUGAUAAUUAAUUGUUGU
rnacentral:lncRNA from 1 species